rnacentral:lncRNA from 1 species
UAUGGAAAAGUAUUGUUCUCUAUGUAAAGACUUAAGAAUAGAUAAUAGUUUACAGAGCUAUAUAAAAAUGUGAUGUGAAUUUAUUUCAUACAAGUUGUUAAAGGUACCAAAAACACAAAAAAGUUAAUAUAUAUAAAAACUAGUAGAACAAAAAAGCUUAAAGUGGGGUGAGGUAUGGAAGAUCAAAAUUAAAUUUAAAAAAGAAAAAUUUGAAAGCAAACACAUCUAUCAGGGGCUGUAACACUCCAUUUUUUUUUCUUUCUAAUAAUGCUAUGGAUCAACAAAUGAAAUUUGAACUUUUUAGGAUGACUAUAAAUGUGUUUUGUUUUUUAAAUGCACAGCCUGAUUCUUCUAUACUGUAAUGUUUCUUUGCUGAGGCUGGAAAAUGACCAGACUGCUAACUUUGUGCCUUUAAAAUGCGUUCUGCUUUGAUAGUGGCAGACUUUUUGGUGCUGGAGAAGAUUCACUAGCAGUCUUUUAUGUGCUUUUCAGGAUAUACCUUUCUACUUAGGCCUUGAGAGAUUCAAGAUGGCAUGACUUAGGCUUGGACCAAAUACAAGAUCUUUUACAUUGCACUCAAAUUAUAUUGAAUAAAAGGGUUGAAAAAUAUCAUAAUGACUAAUAGAAAUUUUGAUGAUAAUUCUUUAAAAUGUAUUUUAAAAUAUACAGACUUUGAAAGUUUC